rnacentral:tRNA from 1 species
GAGAUAGCUCAGUUGGUAAAGCAUGAGCCUUUUAAUCUCAGGGUGGUGGGUUCGAGCCCCACAUUGGACA